UGGGGAAUAUUGCACAAUGGGCGCAAGCCUGAUGCAGCCAUGCCGCGUGUAUGAAGAAGGCCUUCGGGUUGUAAAGUACUUUCAGCAGUGAGGAAGGUGGGUAUCGUUAAUAGCAUACUCAUUUGACGUUAGCUGCAGAAGAAGCACCGGCUAACUCCGUGCCAGCAGCCGCGGUAAUACGGGAGGGUGCGAGCGUUAAUCGGAAUUACUGGGCGUAAAGCGCAUGCAGGUGGUUUGUUAAGUCAGAUGUGAAAGCCCGGGGCUCAACCUCGGAAUUGCAUUUGAAACUGGACAAACUAGAGUACUGUAGAGGGGGUAGAAUUUCAGGUGUAGCGGUGAAAUGCGUAGAGAUCUGAAGGAAUACCGGUGGCGAAGGCGGCCCCCUGGACAGAUACUGACACUCAGAUGCGAAAGCGUGGGGAGCAAACAGGAUUAGAUACCCUGGUAG
rnacentral:rRNA from 1 species